rnacentral:rRNA from 1 species
AUUGAACGCUGGCGGCAUGCCUUACACAUGCAAGUCGAACGGCAGCAUGGAAGAGCUUGCUCUUCUGAUGGCGAGUGGCGAACGGGUGAGUAAAGCAUCGGAAUGUACCGUGUAGUGGGGGAUAACGUAGCGAAAGUUACGCUAAUACCGCAUACGCACUGAGGUGGAAAGCAGGGGAUCGCAAGACCUUGCGCUAUACGAGCGGCCGAUGUCAGAUUAGCUAGUUGGUAGGGUAAAGGCCUACCAAGGCGACGAUCUGUAGCGGGUCUGAGGGGAUGAUCCGCCACACUGGGACUGGGCCACGGCCCAGACUCCUACGGGAGGCAGCAGUGGGGAAUUUUGGACAAUGGGCGAAAGCCUGAUCCAGCCAAGCCGCGUGAGUGAAGAAGGCCUUCGGGUUGUAAAGCUCUUUCGGCUGGGAAGAAAUCGCACAGGCUAAUACUCUGUGUGGAUGACGGUACCAGCACAAGAAGCACCGGCUAACUACGUGCCAGCCGCCGCAGUAA